rnacentral:rRNA from 1 species
GACGAACGCUGGCGGCGUGCCUAAUACAUGCAAGUCGAGCGAAGUUUUUCUGGUUCUUGCACUAGAAAAACUUAGCGGCGAACGGGUGAGUAACACGUAAAGAACCUGCCUCAUAGACUGGGACAACUAUUGGAAACGAUAGCUAAUCCCGGAUAACAGUAUUUCUCGAAUGAUAGAUAUUUAAAAGUUGGUUAUGCUAACACUAUGAGAUGGCUUUGCGUUGAAUUAGCUAGUUGGUGGGGUAAAGGCCCACCAAGGCGACGAUGCAUAGCCGACCUGAGAGGGGGAUCGGCAACACUGGGACGGAGAAACGGCCCAGACUCCUACGGGAGGCAGAAGUAGGGAAUCUUCGGAAAUGGGCGAAAGCCUGACGGAGCAAGGCGGCGUGAGUGAGGAAGGAUUUCGGUUCGUAAAGUUCUGUUGUUAGGGAAGAAUGGUGUUGGAGUAACUAUACAUGUAAGAGACGGUACCUAACCAGAAAGCCACGGCUAACUACGUG